rnacentral:rRNA from 1 species
AGAGGGUGCAAGCGUUAAUCGGAAUUACUGGGCGUAAAGGGCGCGUAGGCGGACUCGUAAGUUAGAUGUGAAAGGCCAGGGCUUAACCUUGGAUUUGCAUUUGAAACUGCGGGACUAGAGUAGAGUAGAGGGGAGCGGAAUUUCCGGUGUAGCGGUGAAAUGCGUAGAUAUCGGAAAGAACACCAGUGGCGAAGGCGGCUCUCUGGGCUCUAACUGACGCUGAGGCGCGAAAGCGUGGGGAGCGAACAGGGAUUAGAUACCCUGGUAGUCCACGCUGUAAACGAUGAGAACUAGCUGUUGGGAGGCAUGACCCCUUUCAGUAGCGCAGCAAACGCACUAAGUUCUCCGCCCUGGGAGUACGGCCGCAAGGCUA